AGUGAACGCUGGCGGUAGGCCUAACACAUGCAAGUCGAACGGCAGCACAGUAAGAGCUUGCUCUUACGGGUGGCGAGUGGAGGACGGGUGAGGAAUACAUCGGAAUCUACUUUUUCGUGGGGGAUAACGUAGGGAAACUUACGCUAAUACCGCAUACGACCUACGGGUGAAAGCAGGGGAUCUUCGGACCUUGCGCGAUUGAAUGAGCCGAUGUCGGAUUAGCUAGUUGGCGGGGUAAAGGCCCACCAAGGCGACGAUCCGUAGCUGGUCUGAGAGGAUGAUCCGCCACACUGGAACUGAGACACGGUCCAGACUCCUACGGGAGGCAGCAGUGGGGAAUAUUGGACAAUGGGCGCAAGCCUGAUCCAGCCAUACCGCGUGGGUGAAGAAGGCCUUCGGGUUGUAAAGCCCUUUUGUUGGGAAAGAAAAGCAGCAGGUUAAUACCCCGCUGUUCUGACGGUACCCAAAGAAUAAGCACCGGCUAACUUCGUG
rnacentral:rRNA from 1 species